UACAAAAAAAUUUAUAUAAAAAUAAGGCAAUUAUUUUAAUUUUUAUCAAAUCACUGUGCUCGUUUUCGAAUCGAUGUUCACGUCUUUGUUUUCACCGCAUUGAUUGUUUUGUUGACAGUUCAGAUAAAUUACAGCUGAAGUCAAUCAAGAUCAGAAAAAUUGUGAUAAGCAGAAUAAUUCACAAAAAAGAACAAUCAUUCAUUAAAGACUCAACUCAAUCAUCAAUCAAUAUCAAAGAUCUCUCAAUCCACAAAUUCCAUUCACCAAAAAUGAGUCCCAAUCUACUUCUUCCGUUGCUAUUCGCUUGCACUUUCCAAAGCAAAUGUCUACCCAUAGCUGCCAAACUUGAAGGAGGGUUCGACCUAAAAAUUAAUACAAAAAAUGAAGGCACGCCACCUUAUGCAGCUUUAGGCGAACUCGAAAUGCCAGACAGAAAUAAAAUGCCAGCCGCCAGACACCACAUAAUUUCAAGAAAAGUUCUCAGAGACUUUUACAGUAAAGCAAUCGAAGAAAAACAGAUAAUAAAGCUACCCAAAUUUUUAGAGGAAUGUAUGAAGCAAUUCGAAACGUUUUACGGCGCAUUUGAUAAAUUUAACGAGAUGUUCAACAACAUUAAAGAAGUGUUCAAAGGAUUAGAUGCAGGCACCGUGUUUCAUAAAGAUAAAGGUCAAGAUCCACCAAAAGGUUACCUUAAUUUUAUAGCAGUGUACAUGUGGCUGCCGCAAAACCUAUUCCUAGGCCCUAGGCCAAAUUGUCGCAGCGACGAUCAAGGCGGUAAAUUUGAGAAGAAUUCAGAACCAAUAAUAGGUCAAAAAGAUUUCAACCUUAGGAAAAAAAUAAACGACGAAAUGGAAAAGUAUAUCAAGAAGAGCGGUCCAGCAGAUUUCAAGAAACUAGAUGAUGACUUAGAAUCCAUGAUGGCCAAGAGAAACGGCAACCAUCCGGAGCCUAAGGGUUCAAAAGAAUGGUACUCUUUUAAUAAAGACCAUUGGGUAGCUGGAACGUAUGAAAUAAAGGUACCUAAUACGAAGGUGAGUUGUGUGAGGGGUUACAAAGCCCCAAAGUCGUUUCUCAGUCGGCAUUUCGGGCAGAAUUUCACCCAGGCCGGCCAAAUUUUGGAAGAGUAAUAUGUUGAGACAAGGUCCGAAGCAAGAUAUCUAUUAUUAUUAUUAUUAUUAUUAUUAUUAGGUACCUCACUCAAGUAUAUCAUAUGUAUGCAUCAGUAUACCUUUUGAAUAAAAUGUACUCAAACGUUUCA